rnacentral:rRNA from 1 species
ACGCACGCUGGCGGCGUGCUUAACACCUGCAAGUCGAACGGAAAGGCCCUGCUUUUGUGGGGUGCUCGAGUGGCGAACGGGUGAUUAACACGUGAGUAACCUGCCCUUGACUUUGGGAUAACUUCAUGAAACUGGGGCUAAUACCGGAUAGGAGCUCCUGCUGCAUGGUGGGGGUUGGAAAGUUUCGGCGGUUGGGGAUGGACUCGCGGCUUAUCAGCUUGUUGGUGGGGUAGUGGCUUACCAAGGCUUUGACGGGUAGCCGGCCUGAGAGGGUGAACGGCCACAUUGGGACUGAGAUACGGCCCAGACUCCUACGGGAGGCAGCAGUGGGGAAUAUUGCACAAUGGGCGGAAGCCUGAUGCAGCAACGCCGCGUGCGGGAUGACGGCCUUCGGGUUGUAAACCGCUUUCGCCUGUGACGAAGCGUGAGUGACGGUAAUGGGUAAAGAAGCACCGGCUAACUACGUG